rnacentral:rRNA from 1 species
AGUGAACGCUGGCGGUAGGCCUAACACAUGCAAGUCGAACGGCAGCACAGUAAGAGCUUGCUCUUACGGGUGGCGAGUGGCGGACGGGUGAGGAAUACAUCGGAAUCUACUUUUUCGUGGGGGAUAACGUAGGGAAACUUACGCUAAUACCGCAUACGACCUACGGGUGAAAGCAGGGGAUCUUCGGACCUUGCGCGAUUGAAUGAGCCGAUGUCGGAUUAGCUAGUUGGCGGGGUGAAGGCCCACCAAGGCGACGAUCCGUAGCUGGUCUGAGAGGAUGAUCAGCCACACUGGAACUGAGACACGGCCCAGACUCCUACGGGAGGCAGCAGUGGGGAAUAUUGGACAAUGGGCGCAAGCCUGAUCCAGCCAUACCGCGUGGGUGAAGAAGGCCUUCGGGUUGUAAAGCCCUUUUGUUGGGAAAGAAAAGCAGCAGGUUAAUACCCCGCUGUUCUGACGGUACCCAAAGAAUAAGCACCGGCUAACUUCGUG